rnacentral:rRNA from 1 species
GACAGAGGGGGCAAGCGUUGCUCGGAAUCACUGGGCGUAAAGGGCGCGUAGGCGGGAUGGCAAGUCGGUCGUGAAAUCCCUGGGCUCAACUCAGGGGGGUCGGCCGAUACUGCCGUUCUUGAGGGAUGCAGAGGAGACUGGAAUUCCCGGUGUAGCGGUGAAAUGUGUAGAUAUCGAGAGGAACACCUGCGGCGAAGGCGGGUUGCUGGGCUGACACUGACGCUGAAGUGCGAAAGCUAGGGGAGCGAACGGG